AUGCGCAUCAACCUGCACCGCGGGCUGUGGUUCCGCUACGACCUCAAGUUCGUCCUCGUAGCCAUGGUGCGGGACGCCGCCCUGCGGUUCAGCAAGGGCCAGUGCAAAACCUUCUGUAGCGACCUUGCCGACGACGACAUCCUCCUCGUCCUCGCCAGGCAGGCACACUAUCGAAACAGGCUCUUUCUCUACAGGUGCCCCAUUGUCACAAAGGAAGGAUUAGCGAAGGGCGACUAUUACGGUACUUGUACUUUUUCUGACUACCAUCCCUAUAGCCCAGUGUGUAGUUACUGUCGCCCUUGGAACUAUCUGGAAUACGACGCCGACGAAUCCUAUGAAGCUUGUUGCUACUAUCUUGGUGACGGCGAUGAUGUUGAUGAGGCCGAUCUCGAAGAGCAUGAGAAGAUCCUAGACAUCAAGAGCAUGCGCAGGUACUUAAGCUAA
rnacentral:rRNA from 1 species